UACGGAGGGUGCGAGCGUUGUCCGGAAUCAUUGGGCGUAAAGGGCGCGUAGGUGGCCCGGUCAGUCCGUGGUGAAAGCGCGGGGCUCAACCCUGCGUCGGCCAUGGAUACUGCCGCGGCUCGAGCACUGUAGAGGCAGGCGGAAUUCCGGGUGUAGCGGUGGAAUGCGCAGAUAUCAGGAGGAACACCAAUGGCGAAGGCAGAUCUCUGGGCCGUAACUGACGCUGAGGAGCGAAAGCAUGGGGAGCGAACAGG
rnacentral:rRNA from 1 species